AGGACGAACGCUGGCGGCGUGCUUAACACAUGCAAGUCGAGCGGUAAGGCUCCUUCGGGAGUACACGAGCGGCGAACGGGUGAGUAACACGUGAGCAAUCUGCCCUUCACAUCGGGAUAACCUCCGGAAACGGAAGCUAAUACCGAAUACGACCACCGGUGGCAUCUCCUGGUGGUGGAAAGUUCCGGCGGUGAAGGAUGAGCUCGCGGCCUAUCAGCUUGUUGGUGGGGUAAUGGCCCACCAAGGCGACGACGGGUAGCCGGCCUGAGAGGGUGACCGGCCACGACUGGGACUGAGACACGGCCCAGACUCCUACGGGAGGCAGCAGUGGGGAAUAUUGCACAAUGGGCGGAAGCCUGAUGCAGCGACGCCGCGUGAGGGAUGACGGCCUUCGGGUUGUAAACCUCUUUCAGUAGGGACGAAGCGUGAGUGACGGUACCUACAGAAGAAGCGCCGGCCAACUACGUGCCAGCAGCCGC
rnacentral:rRNA from 1 species